GACUGGUGGGCAGAGCUAGCUGUGUGUGACUGGUGGGCAGAGCUAGCUGUGUGUGACUGGUGGGCAGAGCUAGCUGUGUGUGUGUGUGACUGGUGGGCAGAGCUGUGCUGUGUGUGUGUGUGUGUGUGACUGGUGGGCAGAGCUAGCUGUGUGUGUGUGACUGGUGGGCAGAGCUAGCUGUGUGUGUGUGUGUGACUGGUGGGCAGAGCUAGCUGUGUGUGUGUGUGUGACUGGUGGGCAGAGCUAGCUCUGUGUGUGUGUGACUGGUGGGCAGAGCUAGCUGUGUGUGUGUGACUGGUGGGCAGAGCUAGCU
ensembl:lncRNA